CGGCCGCCAGGAGAUGGCGUUCCUCCUGAAACCACCGCGUCGCGCGGUUGAUGACGCCUGCGGAGCC
rnacentral:ncRNA from 2 species